rnacentral:misc_RNA from 1 species
CGGCACACACACACGUCUCACAACAGGCAGACGUACUCCCCUCUCCUUCCUCCCCCCAAGACCCGAAAUCCAAAAUCGCACUCACGAAACGACCGCAACUGCCUUGGAUGUUCCCCACGGAUCGACCCCCCACGCCAGCGGACAUGGCCCGGCUGCAGGCUUUCGGAGCCGAAGGCCGGGCUGAGGCAGAGCUGGCGACGGACGUGUACCUGCAUUCCCUCAUGAAGCGCCGCAGCGACAGCGUCGCGGAGCUUCUCGCGCUGUACACGAGCCCAGAGGACGCUCGCAAGGCGUACCCCGACCCGCCACCCUCACUGCUUCAAGUCACUGAUGACGCAUCCUCGGCUAACACAGAGAAGGCAUCGGAGGCGGCAACGGGCACCGGUAGUCCGUCCAGCUGCGCCAUGGCGCAGGCGCUAAAGAGGGCUCGGCGCGAGAAUGCUGCGGCGGCGCUCAGCGCAUCCUCCUGUGCUGCCGCCGCAGCGACAGCGGCCGCCCGUCCCGUGCCCGCCGUGGACGGGCCACCGACGGCCGUCUUUGUGAAUGGCGUGGAGCGGGUCAACUACCUCGGCAAGUCCUUCCUAGAGCCGCCGUCGAGCGUGCUGGAGCACGAGCAGUCCACGAAGCAAAAGGCGUGCCAGCCGCCCCGCACCAUGCGCGGCGUGUUCAAGGUACCAGAAGGCUGUGAGGCAGCGCCCAACGCCGCCUCCGCGCCGGCAUCGUCUUCGUUCCUGGCGGACCAUGGCGGUAGCAGCGGCGGUGAGCGACGCUCCGGCAAGGCGUCUGGCGUGCAGCAACUCCGCUGGGCCCCGCCUGCGUACGGCCACCUCCUCUUCUCUGGCGACAUCGGUGGGCAGUGCCGGCUGUGGAACUCGUCGACGCGCCAGCUACUCGCCACCUUCGCGGCGCAUUCGCAGCCAAUCAAAAGCCUGGAGGUGACGACGAACGCAGCGAUCAUGUCGACUGGCUCAGUAGACGGCACGGUGGCCAUGUGGGACGUCGAGGCUGGCGUCUGUACGCACGUGCUAACCAAUCCAGACAGCCUCCCCGUCGUACAGCAUCUUCACCACCCCUCCGAUGAGGCGCACCUUCUGUUGGCGGCCGUGGACAAGAAAGUGGUCCUCUACGACGUGCGCGUUGGCUGCAGUAAGUACCAGCGCGAGUACACGGGGCAUAUGGGCACCAUCUUCAACCUCACGCUGCUGAGCAACGGUAGCAAGAUGCUCACCACCUCGGAGGACAGGACGCUGCGCACUUGGGACUACCGAAGUCCGGUGCAGAUCAAACAGUUUGCCGAUGCGGCGAUGCACGCUAUCACGCACGUUCUGCACCACCCGACGCAGCCGGAGUUCCUCGCCGCGCAGUCGCUCAACAACAAGGUAAUCGUCUUCCGCGACGACGGCGGCGGCCGUCUGCGACUCCUGCACGACUGUGAGUUCACAGGGCACACCAUUUCCGGCACGCGAUGUCAGUUGAGCUUCAGCCACGAUGGCCGGUAUCUGUCGAGCGGCGACAUUGGCGGCAAGCUGUACGUAUGGGACUGGGCAGCGAAGAAGCUGGAGAAGUCCUUCAAGGCCCACGCGCAGAUGCUGGUGUCCCACCUAUGGCACCCGAUCGAGCCCACCAAGGUGGUGACGGCUGCUUGGGAUGGCCACAUCAGAAGCUGGGUGUGACCGUGGAGAGAAUCAUCGGAGACGCGCCUUUGCAUGUGUGCGUGUGCGUUGGCGUAGCGCCACCGCUGUCACCGCCUGUCUCGCGAGAGGUUUUCGGCUUUGCCCGGGGGAAGGGAGAAGGCCCUCGACGCGCCCUGCCUUGCCAUCGUUGUCGUGGUGUCUAAGCCGCCAUCUCUCCGACACACGCACAAGCAUAUAAGCGCGCUGUCCAGCGCCCGAGACAGGGCUGC